UGGCCAGUUUGGGAUGGAAUUGUGGUA
rnacentral:piRNA from 1 species